rnacentral:rRNA from 1 species
UUCUUUAAGAAUUACUUUAAAGUACAACCUGCUCAAUGCCUAGUAAAUAGCCGCAGAUAUCUGUGCUAAGGUAGCAUAAUCAUUAGCUCUCUAAUUAAGAGAUAGAAUGAAUGGUUAUACGAAAUAAAUACUGUCUCUCACAAAAAAAUGAAAUUAACACAAUAGUAAAAAAACUAUUAUUAAAUACUAAGACGACAAGACCCUAACAAACUACAUUUUUAGCUGGGGCGGCUAAACAAAAAAACCUUAUUAUAACUUUCAUUAUAAAACUAUAUAAAUAAUAUAAAUAAAGUUACUGUAGGGAUAACAGCGCUACCUUAUUUAAGAGAACACAUCCAAAUAAGAUCUACGACCUCGAUGUUGAAUUAAUUUAACUAAUAAACGCAAAAGUUUAUCCAAGUAAGUCUGUUCGACUUUUAAAUAAU